UUUAAGAUCGGUCUUAUACCAACCAAUUUUGUAUUUGCGUUCUUUCAACUUCGUUGUUCACUCUCUCGUGCUUCAGUCUUCACUGUCUGAGCUUUGUCGUGGUUUCGUGCUUUCGUUCUUUGUCUGAGCUUCGUUAUAAGUUUCGUGCUUUGUCUGAGCUUCAUUAUAGCAUUUUCCUCCGUUCGGGCUCCCUCACCAAUAAUCUCCAUUCAUCUUCACCAAGAGGCUAUAACAUCCUCAGAGACCAGGAGAGGUGACCUUUUUGUGGCUGAUGUUAACACCCAGUUGAAGAACAAGAACAUCACUACUGAUGUCAAAGUGGACACUGAUUCUAAUCUUUUCACAACUAUCACUGUUAAUGAGCCUGCUCCUGGUCUGAAGACCAUUCUUAGCUUAACUAGUUUAGCUUAACUAGUAUCAAUUAUGAUCACUGUUAUAUUAUGAAGUCGUGCACAAUGGAAAAAGUGGUCAGGUGAUUAAUCUGUUCUGUUCUGUUCUGCACACACAUACAAUACAACAAAAGCAACAUGUCUAAUCUAAACUCAAUACAAGAAAUCAAAGCAUUAGAGGAGACGUCAAUUCAACUUUUACGUUCCCAUGAGAAACCCAUUUACCCAUUAUUUCGUACUAUCAAUUUUGUUUCAAUGUUUAACUAGUUUAGUACACGUCACAGUGCUUGUAAAAAAAAUAUAUAUAGUAGUACUGUUUACGUAACGACAAAUUGAAGAGGCUUGGUUUGUUGUGAAUGAGUAAAAUGGCUUCGAGUUGAACCUCUGAAGCCUAAUAAUUGUCUUUUGUUUGAGGCGUGCUUUGCUUUCUGAUACACGCAAAACAAAAGC